UAAAUUGCCGAGAUUCUCAUAUUUAUUUAGAGUUGAGAUUUAAAACCAGGUCUGGCUUGACAAAUAUAAUUCACAUUAUAUAAAACAAGAUACUGACAGUUAACCAACAAGGCAAAACAUGUUGAUUCCCACUAAUUGCACAGAAACUCUAGUUACAUUACGAUACAAAACUAUUAUAUGUCUAUUAAAUUACCAGCGCUUCCUUUUUUAAAGUAACCCCCAUUGCUGGUUAGGUGGCAAUGAAGAGGGCAGUCAUACAGUCAGUGCUAUAACACUUUGAGAAGAUGAGUCAGCAGCAGGCAUGAGAAACUUUGGUCAUAACCUUUGCUUCUGUGAUCACUUCCCUGGUAUAUUUGGCAGAGAAAAUAAUAAAGGGGUAAGGGAGAAACUUGCACUGUCUGGCUAAUUUUCUUGACCUCCUUUAUUUGGCUCCAUAUACUGAGGUUUCUUAAUGUGCUACAAUAUACUGAGUUAUUCUAUAGUUUUAAGAGAUUUAUUUUAAAUUUUACUUUUUUGAUAUUUAACUCUGUAAACUAUAUAGUAUUCUCACUAGUUAAAAUAGAAAAAAGAAAUAUCUCCUAUCUUUGAGUCCUGGACUUUCAAAAACAAUGCUAUACCGCCAAGGGAGAGAACAUGGAGGGCGCAUCCUAACUGCUUAGCUGGAAGGGCCUGAUGCGUAUCUGAAGACGAUCAGCAAUAUGGGUUUUACCAGCUUCUAUCUUUGUUGUGAAGGACAUUCUUGAAUCGCGUUUUUCUUGAAUGUUUUAUCUGAAUUUGAUAAUCAGAUUAUGUCUAAUCCAUGUAUCCAGCUUGAGUUUCUUUACAAAAUAUUUCUGAGAGAAAUUAAUUUUUUUCAUAUAUGACUCUUGGCAGGCUUGACUAUACAUUACAGGGCACAUUCAUCCAGUCAACUUUUAUCAUGAGAUUUCUAUGGUUAGGAGAUGGUGAAAAGAAGAAGCAUACCAUCUGCCUCCAUAAAGCUUGCACUUUAACAGUAGAGACAGAUAUUAACCAAGUCACGCAAAUAAAUGUGAAAUAUUAACUGUGAUAACAGGUAUAAUAGUGGAGAGCAAUGAGGUCAUAUAAUAAUAGGAAUUAAUUAACCUAAUCAAUGAGGUCAGUGAAGCAUCCCAUUUUACCGGUGACUUGGGUAAGAAAAUUGUUCAUUCUCUAAAACAAAUUUAACUCUGCUCCAACCAUAUGGUCAGAUUGGUGGGAAUCUCAGGGCUGAGACCUCUGGCUGCUUGGAUUCAUCCUUCUUUUAAUGGGAACUCCCUGUCCCCUCCUUUAUGGGAUUCUGUUGCUUCCUGGAGG
rnacentral:lncRNA from 1 species